UACAGAGACUGCAAGCGUUAUUCGGAUUCACUGGGCGUAAAGGGUGCGCAGGUGGCCAAGUGUGUUAGGCGUGAAAGCCCGGGGCUUAACCCCGGAAUUGCACCUAAAACUACUUGGCUAGAGCAUUGGAGAGGGAGGUAGAAUUCCACGUGUAGCGGUGAAAUGCGUAGAUAUGUGGAGGAAUACCGGUGGCGAAGGCGGCCUCCUGGUUCAAUACUGACGCUGAGGUGCGAAAGCGUGGGGAGCAAACAGG
rnacentral:rRNA from 1 species